rnacentral:rRNA from 1 species
ACGGAAGGCAGCAGUGGGGAAUAUUGCACAAUGGGCGAAAGCCUGAUGCAGCGACGCCGCGUGAGUGAUGAAGUAUUUCGGUAUGUAAAGCUCUAUCAGCAGGGAAGAUAAUGACGGUACCUGACUAAGAAGCACCGGCUAAAUACGUGCCAGCAGCCGCGGUAAUACGUAUGGUGCAAGCGUUAUCCGGAUUUACUGGGUGUAAAGGGAGCGCAGGCGGUACGGCAAGUCUGAUGUGAAAGCCCGGGGCUCAACCCCGGUACUGCAUUGGAAACUGUCGAACUAGAGUGUCGGAGGGGUAAGUGGAAUUCCUAGUGUAGCGGUGGAAUGCGUAGAUAUUAGGAGGAACACCGGUGGCGAAGGCGACUUUCUGGACGGUAACUGACGUUGAGGCACGAAAGUGUGGGGAGCAAACAGGAUUAGAUACCCUGGUA